CACCCGCCCACACGGUUUGCCGUGUUUUCACCCUUCUUUGUUCUCCACCGGUCUGGGCAGGGUCUGAGGACUCCGGAGAGCAAGGCAUGGGUCCGCCUCGUGCCGCAGGGAUUUGAGGACACACGCCAGCUGCCUACACCUGAAGAAAGGGUGAGCUCUGAGGACUUCACAGGGGCCCCAUCCCCUCACCUAGAUGAGGGCUAACCUUGGAAUCCAGACAAAGGUGGAAGUGACCUAGAUGUGACCUGAAUGAGCUAAUCAUCUAAUGAGAGCCAGCCCUUUGUCCUGCCCACAUGAAGGGCUUUGCUGCUACGCACUGACAAGUUGGACGGCUUUUUAUUGCUUUGUUGCCAGUUAUCUGAACAUGAGAGGCUGUAAGGUGUAAUCUGCGAGCCCUGCGCCCAGACUGAACCAGGGCCUCCCUUGAACAUGAGUAUUAGACAAAUGAAAUAAGAACUUAUCUUGCCCAGACUAUAUAAUGGCUUGGAAAUGCAUAGUUUCCUGAACGAUCUCAAUAAAAUACUUUUAAAAGUACUUAAAUAGACUUUUUCUGUGUCACUUUGUGGGGAGGUGUGAGAAGAUAUAGGAGCUAGUCAUUUCAUGUGUCUGGUUCCUGGUCCCUUAACAGCAUCUGUUCUGGAAGUACAGAUGAAAAUUCUAUACAGACCUGUAAGGCUGACCAUAGUUUUAGCAGAUUAGCAU
rnacentral:lncRNA from 1 species